GAUGAACGCUGGCGGCGUGCCUAAUACAUGCAAGUCGAGCGAACAGACGAGGAGCUUGCUCCUCUGACGUUAGCGGCGGACGGGUGAGUAACACGUGGAUAACCUACCUAUAAGACUGGGAUAACUUCGGGAAACCGGAGCUAAUACCGGAUAAUAUAUUGAACCGCAUGGUUCAAUAGUGAAAGACGGUUUUGCUGUCACUUAUAGAUGGAUCCGCGCCGCAUUAGCUAGUUGGUAAGGUAACGGCUUACCAAGGCAACGAUGCGUAGCCGACCUGAGAGGGUGAUCGGCCACACUGGAACUGAGACACGGUCCAGACUCCUACGGGAGGCAGCAGUAGGGAAUCUGCCGCAAUGGGCGAAAGCCUGACGGAGCAACGCCGCGUGAGUGAUGAAGGUCUUCGGAUCGUAAAACUCUGUUAUUAGGGAAGAACAAAUGUGUAAGUAACUAUGCACGUCUUGACGGUACCUAAUCAGAAAGCCACGGCUAACUACGCG
rnacentral:rRNA from 1 species